CCUACGGGUGGCAGCAGUGGGGAAUAUUGGACAAUGGGGGGAACCCUGAUCCAGCCAUGCCGCGUGUGUAAAGAAGGCCCUCGGGUUGUAAAGCACUUUCAGUGAGGAAGAACGCCUGGUGGUUAAUACCCAUCAGGAAAGACAUCACUCACAGAAGAAGCACCGGCUAACUCCGUGCCAGCAGCCGCGGUAAUACGGAGGGUGCGAGCGUUAAUCGGAAUUACUGGGCGUAAAGCGCGCGUAGGUGGCUUGAUAAGCCGGUUGUGAAAGCCCCGGGCUCAACCUGGGAACGGCAUCCGGAACUGUCAAGCUAGAGUGCAGGAGAGGAAGGUAGAAUUCCCGGUGUAGCGGUGAAAUGCGUAGAGAUCGGGAGGAAUACCAGUGGCGAAGGCGGCCUUCUGGACUGACACUGACACUGAGGUGCGAAAGCGUGGGUAGCAAACAGGAUUAGAUACCCUAGUAGUC
rnacentral:rRNA from 1 species